rnacentral:lncRNA from 1 species
GCCUGCUAGGAUCCACCCCUUAAAGGUUCCAGCACUUCCCGCUGAGCCACCUCCCCUAAGGUUCCUGCCCGGGAUUAGAGAUGGCAACUCACCGGCCGGCUGAGUGAAACGGAGCCUCCAAGAGAAGCACUUCUGUGCAGAAAUGGCGGAAUAUGCUCAGGCUUUCGGACAGUAAUGAGGCAGCAGGAACACUUGCUUAUGUUUAAGGAAUUUCUCACGGGUCUACUUCACCUGAUAAUGGACACAAAUACUCCCUCUACCUUAACUUCGAGAAGAGCCCGAACCCUCAAAGUGAGGCGAGCUUGGGUGGAAGGAGGGGAAACAGAUGGAGAGGAGCCCUG